GAGGGCUCAAACGACCCAUGGUUCGUAGAAUACCCACUACGCAUUGGAAACGGAACCGAGAAGACAAAUGAUGAUGGUGAAAUACUUCUACCUACAAGUAUAUGUGUGCCAAAUAAGACGGAUGAUACCGGCCUGGAUAGACUUAUUGACAGUAUCUACCAAACGGGAAAUGUUUACCUAAAAGAUCGAAAGUACAUCACAUCAAGAGCAAUUUUAUCCACAAGGAAUGACUGCGUAGACAAGAUCAACCUAAAUAUGAUUGAUCGCUUCCAGGGGGAGGAGAUGGUGUACCACAGCUUCGAUUCUGUAGAAGAGACCCACAUAACUACUAUCCAUCAUAAUUCCUAA
rnacentral:rRNA from 1 species